UACGGAGGGUGCGAGCGUUAUCCGGAAUCACUGGGUUUAAAGGGUGCGCAGGCGGCGGGAUAAGUCAGUUGUGAAAUCGCUGGGCUCAACCCAUGCAAUCGCGAUUGAUACUGUCCUGCUUGAAACAGGUUGAGGCAGGCGGAAUGUGGCAUGUAGCGGUGAAAUGCAUAGAUAUGCCAUAGAACACCGAUUGCGAAGGCAGCUUGCUGGGCCUGAUUUGACGCUGAGGCACGAAAGCGUGGGGAGCAAACAGG
rnacentral:rRNA from 1 species